GGACCAGCGAGGAGGCUCUCGUGUCGGUCGAGGCUGGAUGUGAGGGUUCCCUGCACCGCUGUGGGAACAUCGAGGUGAAGAAGCUUCCCGUCAGAGACACCCUGGUGGUCGCUUAGAUGCGGGUGGGGGGAAGGUGCCGAGAGAGGGUGGUGGGUGACAUAAUGGAGACCUUGGGCCCGGGCCACUGUGUGGGCGCUCGGUGACACGUAGAAACGUGGGUCACUCGAAGCGGCGUGAUCCCAGUCCGUGUCCCGACAGGUCCAAGGUAGAAAGACGGACCCUAUAGAAAGACAGGCUGGGGUAGGGCCUGUCUGUCCCCUGGGGGACGAAAUCAGAGCAAAGUCAGCCCUCAAUUCCCUUGCCACCCUGUCUGCAGCUCUGACCACCGACGUCCCCGCCCCCCACCUCCCACGUUACCCCCCGCUGUCACACCCCUAAGUCCUCCAGCACAGAUCAGAUGACCUCGCAGAGCAGUCGGCCAGCCAGGCACAGAACUGAGCGCGUGUCACGCGUUACCUCGUCUCAGCGAGACUUGGCAAGGUUUCCAGGGCAACUUACGCCGUCGUUGUGCAAACCACGGGGUUACCUUUCGGCCUUGAUUUCCAGCUGUGUCUUUCUGUGACCGCACGAGCUCAGUCAGAGGCGGCCACCACGUCCCGCCCUUCUGGUCACCGGUGUCAGUACCGACGGUCAAGUGCAACGGACCCCUGGACUCCUAAAGCUGUGCCUUCAACGGACAUUUCAUCCCAGGCAGUCACAGGUGAUAAUUUAGGUGGUUAUGAAGCCACUACGUGCCAUUGACCACCGGUAUCACAUUGGCCUGGCAAUGAGGUCAUCACCUGUGUCCAAGCCUCAUCAGUCCGAGGGCCCCAGCCCCGAAUCCCAACUCUGAGGGUGUAUCUCUCAGAAACACCCGCAGUGCUCAGUGCUACACCAUUCGAGGUCCCUUCAGGAAAACAGAAUCUCCAACCAGCCCACACAGAGAGGACGGUCCGCAGAGACACGGGUCGUGAAGGGUUGUCGGGGCCGACGGAGCAGGAAGGGAAGGGAAGGGCCCCCAGGGCUUAGGGACUCGGCACGCUGCCGCCCGGGGCUGGGGAACCCGGGACGAACCCUGCACCUGCUGUGGCCUCCGGUGGAGCUGAGCGCCACGGCCGCGGAGAUCCCCGAGUCCCCGCUGUUGCUGGAGCCACAGGCCGCUGCUGAAAGGACAAGAGAGGCAGGAACAGAUUCCUUACCUCUGCCUUCCCGGUCCUGGGCCAGCACCUCUCAUCGUCCGAACCUGGCUGGAACCGGCAGUCAAGGGAGGCAGGGACACGUGACUUGUGGGUCCGGCAUCGCACAGACAGUGGCCACCGAGCAGAGAGCUGAAACGACUGGACGAAGGACCAGCACAUCGAGACUUGACUUUUGUACCAGCCAAAUCCGUUCUGUGGCUUCCUGCUGGGUCCUGAGAGGGGGGCGCUGAGACUCAGUUUCCCCAUGAAUAAAAUAGGGAUAAUAACAGCCCCUGACAAGGUU